rnacentral:lncRNA from 1 species
CUUAAUCCAACAUUCUUGCUUCACAACAUUCUUUCUCCAAGGGAUUGCUGCAUUGAUGACCUCCCCAUCCUCAUGUUCCAUCCAUUGUCUUCCUCAGCGAAUCCAAUGAGGCCUUUGUCCCCACCCCCCUACCCCCGCUCCUGACACACCUUCCCCAAUGCUCACCAAGUUCCAGCCACACAGGGCUCCCAAGUGCACCCCAAGUUCUGCAAGCACACUCCUGUUGAGGGAGCUUGCUGCUCCCUCCCAGAAAGGCCCUUCUCUUUGAUCUUGUCUUUUUCUGCCUGACACAUUACCCAGAUUCCCUCCAGCCCGCUCCUGGGGCCCACCCAGCGCCGGCUCAGUGUCAGCGCCAGUAUCGGAGGGGAGACUGGGCUGACAAGCUGCGUGUUCCCCGAUGAGCUUCUGACGCAGAUCUUGACUGAGCGGAUACAGCUGAGCGACUGCUACCAAGGAGUGGUGUUUGAUGGCCUUGACACCCUCUUCUCUUGGAGCACGACUGCUGCCCUCCGGUGCCUGCUGAAGGCCAUUGGCAGCCGUGAGCACAUCUAUGUUCUCAACAUGGCCCAGGAUUUCAUGGACAUGAAGGCCCAGGAGAAGGCCAGAAAGGAGCAAGAAGGCAAGGCCCCCCAACCUUCCCGGGCUGUCCCUCCAGGGCUCUCACUGGUCUUUCCUUUCCUUGGGGCCUUGGGCUUUUCAACCUGACUGGAUAAUCCACUGGGUUUCAAUGUAGUUUUUACACUUCCU